GCGAAAGUGGCGGAACUGGCAGACGCGCCGGAUUUAGGAUCCGGUAGCCGAAAGGCUGUGGGGGUUCGAGUCCCCCCUUUCGCACCA
rnacentral:tRNA from 1 species